GACGAACGCUGGCGGCGUGCUUAACACAUGCAAGUCGAACGAAGAGCGAUGGAAGCUUGCUUCUAUCAAUCUUAGUGGCGAACGGGUGAGUAACGCGUAAUCAACCUGCCCUUCAGAGGGGGACAACAGUUGGAAACGACUGCUAAUACCGCAUACGAGCUAAUCUCGGCAUCGAGGAUAGAUGAAAGGUGGCCUCUACAUGUAAGCUAUCACUGAAGGAGGGGAUUGGGUCUGAUUAGGAAGCUGGAGGGGGAACGGCCCACCAAGGCGAUGAUCAGUAACCGGUCUGAGGGGAUGAACGGCCACAAUGGGACUGAGACACGGCCCAGGCUCCUACGGGAGGCAGCAGUGGGGAAUCUUCCGCAAUGGACGAAAGUCUGACGGAGCAACGCCGCGUGAGUGAUGACGGCCUUCGGGUUGUAAAGCUCUGUUAAUCGGGACGAAAGGCCUUCUUGCGAAUAGUGAGAAGGAUUGACGGUACCGGAAUAGAAAGCCACGGCUAACUACGUG
rnacentral:rRNA from 1 species